UGCUGACGAGUGGCGGACGGGUGAGUAAUGCUUAGGAAUCUACCUAGUAGUGGGGGAUAACCCGGGGAAACUCGGGCUAAUACCGCAUACGUCCCCUUACGUAAUACUUGGGGGGAGAAAGCGGGGGACCUUCGGGCCUCGCGCUAUUAGAUGAGCCUAAGUCCGAUUAGCUAGUUGGUAGGGUAAUGGCCUACCAAGGCGACGAUCGGUAGCUGGUCUGAGAGGACGACCAGCCACACUGGGACUGAGACACGGCCCAGACUCCUACGGGAGGCAGCAGUGGGGAAUAUUGGACAAUGGGCGAAAGCCUGAUCCAGCGAUGCCGCGUGUGUGAAGAAGGCCUGCGGGUUGUAAAGCACUUUCAGUUGGGAAGAAAAGCCGAGGGCCAAUACCUCUCGGUCUUGACGUUACUAACAGAAGAAGCACCGGCUAACUCCGUGCCAGCAGCCGCGGUAAUACGGAGGGUGCGAGCGUUAAUCGGAAUUACUGGGCGUAAAGGGCGCGUAGGCGGUUUGGUAAGUCGGGUGUGAAAGCCCCGGGCUUAACCCGGGAAUUGCAUUCGAUACUGCCUAACUAGAGUAUGGUAGAGGGAAGCGGAAUUCCGGGUGUAGCGGUGAAAUGCGUAGAUAUCCGGAGGAACACCAGUGGCGAAGGCGGCUUCCUGGACCAAUACUGACGCUGAGGCGCGAAAGCGUGGGGAUCAAACAGGAUUAGAUACCCUGGUAGUCCACGCCCUAAACGAUGAGAACUAGCCGUUAGAGGAGAUUAGUCCUUUAGUGGCGCAGCUAACGCGAUAAGUUCUCCGCCUGGGGGAGUACGGCCGCAAGGUUAAAACUCAAAGGAAUUGACGGG
rnacentral:rRNA from 1 species